CCGUGGAGGGCACUUUCCCAGUCCCCGAGGCGGAUCCGGUGUUGCAUCCUUGGAGAGAGCUGAGAGCUGGAGUACAGAACCUGCUAAGGCCAUCAAACCUAUUGAUCGGAAGUCAGUCCAUCAGAUUUGCUCUGGGCAGGUGGUACUGAGUCUAAGCACUGCGGUGAAGAAGAUAGUAGAAAACAGUCUGGAUGCUGGUGCCACUAAUAUUGUGAUGUCACCAUUUCUACCUGCCACGUAUCGGCGAAGGUUGGGACUCGACUGGUGUUUGAUCACGAUGGGAAAAUCAUCCAGAAAACCCCCUACCCCCACCCCAGAGGGACCACAGUCAGCGUGAAGCAGUUAUUUUCUACGCUACCUGUGCGCCAUAAGGAAUUUCAAAGGAAUAUUAAGAAGCCUCCAAUUUACAGUCUAAAACAUGUACGCGGUGGCCCUGAGCUGUUGUGUAAAUGGACUCACUGCCCUGAGGCCACCAUGCUGCAAGGAAGCCCAAGCUAACCCUAGGAUGUGCCCUGAGACGACAUGAAGACGCAUCCCCAGCCAGCCUUCCACUACCCCAUCCUUCACUGCCCCAUUCUCACCCCCGCCCACCUCCUUACUCCCUCCACCCCUCCACCUGCCUCCAGCCAGAAUUGCACAGCCAGCUACUUCCAGAAUCGCUGGUCCAAAGAAAUCACGACAGGCGCUAAGUUUGGGGCAAUCCAUUUAAUGCUACUAAGUUGUGGGAUGGUUUGUUUGAGCAGCCCCAGAUAACAAACAUUCCUUGAGGUCACAUGCUAACCAAGCUGUGAUUCGAACACUGCCUCUCAAAUUCACGAGCAAAAGAGGGGGAAUUCUGUUUGAAAUGCCAAAAAGAACUCUUUCUUGCUUUUAUUAUUUUUAAUUUAUGUAUAAUAAUUGUAUGUUUAUAUAAUAAUUGUAAUAAUUUACGGGAUACAGGUGAUAUUUCAAUAUAUGUAUGCAAUGUGUAAUGAUCACAUCAGGGUGAUUAGCGGAUUCAUUUCCUCAGUUAUCAUUUCUUUGUGUUGGGAACAUUCAAAAUCUGCUCUUCUACCUAUUUGAAUAUAGAAAAUAAAUUGUUUUGUUUUGUUUUUGA
rnacentral:lncRNA from 1 species